rnacentral:rRNA from 1 species
GACGAACGCUGGCGGCGUGCUUAACACAUGCAAGUCGAACGGAAAGGCCCUGCUUUUGUGGGGUGCUCGAGUGGCGAACGGAUGAGUAACACGUGAGUAACCUGCCCUUGACUUUGGGAUAACUUCAGGAAACUGGGGCUAAUACCGGAUAGGAGCUCCUGCUGCAUGGUGGGGGUUGGAAAGUUUCGGCGGUUGGGGAUGGACUCGCGGCUUAUCAGCUUGUUGGUGGGGUAGUGGCUUACCAAGGCUUUGACGGGUAGCCGGCCUGAGAGGGUGACCGGCCACAUUGGGACUGGGAUACGGCCCAGACUCCUACGGGAGGCAGCAGUGGGGAAUAUUGCACAAUGGGCGGAAGCCUGAUGCAGCAACGCCGCGUGCGGGAUGACGGCCUUCGGGUUGUAAACCGCUUUCGCCUGUGACGAAGCGUGAGUGACGGUAAUGGGUAAAGAAGCACCGGCUAACUACGUG